CCUUUGCAGACGACUUG
rnacentral:rRNA from 1 species